rnacentral:piRNA from 1 species
CCAGCACUUGGGAGGCAGAGGUAGG